UAUAAUGCAGUCGAACGAACGGAUAAAGAGCUUGCUCUCCCGAAGUUAGUGGCGGACGGGUGAGUAACACGUGGGUAACCUGCCUCACAGCUGGGGAUAACAUCGAGACCUCGAUGCUAAUACCGAAUGUGCUGAACAUCAUAAGAUGUUCAAGUGAAAGACGGUUUCCCCUAGCACUGUGAGAUGGACCCGCGCUGGAUUAGCUAGUUGGUAAGGUAAUGGCUUACCAAGGCGACGAUCAAUAGCCGACCUGAGAGGGUGAUCGGCCAGAAUGGGACUGAGACACGGCCCAAACUCCUACGGGAGGCAGCAGUAGGGAAUCUUGCGCAAUGGACGAAAGUCUGAGCGAGCAACGCCGCGUGAGCGAAGAAGGCCUUCGGGUCGUAAAGCUCGCUUGUUAGAGCCAAAAAUCAGUGAGAGUAACUGUUCACCAAUUGACGGUAUCUCCCAAGAAAGCCACGCGUAACUACGUGCCAGCAGCCGCGGUCCUACGUAGGUGGCAAGCGUUGUCCGGAAUUAUUGGGCGUAAAGCGCGCGCAGGCGGUCUCUUAAGUCUGAUGUGAAAGCCCCCGGCUCAACCGGGGAGGGUCAUUGGAAACUGGGAGACUUGAGGACAGAAGAGGAGCGUGGAAUUCCAAGUGUAGCGGUGAAUCACGUAGAUAUCCCCCCGAACACCAGUGGCGAAGGCGGCUCUCUGGUCUGUUACUGACGCUGAGGCGCGAAAGCGUGGGGAGCAAACAGGAUUAGAUACCCUGGUAGUCCACGCCGUAACGAUGAGUGCUAAGUGUUAGGGGGUCCAAUUAGCUUAGUGCUGCAGUUAACGCAUUAAGCACUCCGCCUGGGGAGUACGACCGCAAGGUUGAAACUCAAAGGAAUUGACGGGGGCCCGCACAAGCGGUGGAGCAUGUGGUCCAAUUCGAAGCAACGCGAGAACCUUACCAGAUCUUGACAUCCUUUGACCAUUCUGGAGACAGAACCCUCAAGGCGGGGACAAGUGACAGGUGGUGCAUCCGUUGUCGUCAGCUCGU
rnacentral:rRNA from 1 species